CAGGACGAACGCUGGCGGCGUGCUUUACACAUGCAAGUCGAGCGAUGAGAUCCCUUCGGGGAUGGAUUAGCGGCGAACGGGUGAGGAACACGUGAGGAAUCUGCCUUCAACACUGGGAUAACUCCGGGAAACCGGGGCUAAUACCGGAUACGAGAGCUGCAGGCAUCUGCGGCUCUGGAAAGUUUUUCGGUUGAAGAUGACCUCGCGGCCUAUCAGCUUGUUGGUGAGGUAAUGGCUCACCAAGGCGACGACGGGUAGCCGGCCUGAGAGGGCGACCGGCCACACUGGGACUGAGACACGGCCCAGACUCCUACGGGAGGCAGCAGUGGGGAAUAUUGGGCGAUGGAGGAAACUCUGACCCAGCGACGCCGCGUGCGGGAUGAAGGCCUUCGGGUUGUAAACCGCUUUCAGUAGGGAAGAAGCGAAAGUGACGGUACCUACAAAAGAAGCACCGGCUAACUAUGUGCCAGCAGCCGCGGUAA
rnacentral:rRNA from 1 species